CGCCGGCGUCGCGCAGGGCGAGCGCACCGGCCGCCUCCCGGCCGGCGGCGACGGUCAGCGCCGAGGUCUCGAUCGUCUCGAGGACGGCGCC
rnacentral:tRNA from 1 species